AAGGCCUUAAGUUAAAAAUAAACUAAUAACCUUCAAAGCUAUAAACAAAGGGAGCCCUUUAGGCCUUG
rnacentral:tRNA from 1 species